rnacentral:miRNA from 1 species
AUGUGAUUGUCCACUUCAUCUGCC